rnacentral:rRNA from 1 species
UGGGGAAUAUUGCACAAUGGAGGAAACUCUGAUGCAGCGACGCCGCGUGAGUGAAGAAGGUCUUCGGAUCGUAAAACUCUGUCCUUGGUGACGAAAAAAAUGACGGUAGCCAAGGAGGAAGCCCCGGCUAACUACGUGCCAGCAGCCGCGGUAAUACGUAGGGGGCGAGCGUUGUCCGGAUUUACUGGGCGUAAAGGGUGAGUAGGCGGUAAUAUGUGUCAGAUGUAAAAGGCUAUGGCUUAACCAUAGUUGGCAUUGGAAACUGUAUUACUUGAGUGCAGGAGAGGUAAGUUGAAUUCCUAGUGUGGCGGUGAAAUGCGUAGAUAUUAGGAGGAACACCAGUGGCGAAGGCGACUUACUGGACUGUAACUGACGCUGAGUCACGAAAGCGUGGGGAGCAAACA